GAUCCUGGCUCAGAUUGAACGCUGGCGGCAUGCCUUACACAUGCAAGUCGAACGGCAGCACGGAGCUUGCUCCUGGUGGCGAGUGGCGAACGGGUGAGUAAUACAUCGGAACGUACCCUGAAUGGGGGAUAACGUAGCGAAAGUUACGCUAAUACCGCAUAUUCUGUGAGCAGGAAAGAGGGGGAUCGCAAGACCUCUUGCUUUAGGAGCGGCCGAUGUCGGAUUAGCUAGUUGGUGAGGUAAAGGCUCACCAAGGCGACGAUCCGUAGCGGGUCUGAGAGGAUGAUCCGCCACACUGGGACUGAGACACGGCCCAGACUCCUACGGGAGGCAGCAGUGGGGAAUUUUGGACAAUGGGCGCAAGCCUGAUCCAGCCAUGCCGCGUGAGUGAAGAAGGCCUUCGGUUGUAAAGCUCUUUCGGUGGGGAAGAAAUUGCACAGGAUAAUACCUUGUGUAGAUGACGGUACCCGCAUAAGAAGCACCGGCUAACUACGUG
rnacentral:rRNA from 1 species